GGAGCUGGUUCCAGGAAAGAAGGGCACAUGAGCAAACAUGAUGGCCCCUUUAUGAGAGGUAAUUUACUGAAAUGCACAGCGAUUACCUGCUCAUCCAGCCCUGAUGUAAUUAAAAAUGGCAGGCUAGGGGCUCUGUUUCCCCCGGCUCUGGCAGAGAAACCUGGGUUUCGACUUGUGAAGCUUGAGGUUGGAUGUGGGAAUUGGCUUGGAGUCGUAGGCGAUGAGAGGGACAUUAGGAUUAUCAAGCCCGUGAGCUCAACUCCUGAGAAGGACACAGCAGAGCGAGAGAAAAGAUGGAAUAAAAAGGCCUACCUCAUUGGGCUCGUGUGGGUGAGGAGAACUGAAGAGUCUGAGAGCGCGGCACGAGCCAGAGGCUACGGAAAACACUGCCCUCCUACACUCCACCUUGGAGAGACCCAGAAAAGAACAAGCUUCAUUUGUAAAAAAGGAAAACAGCUCAUGGGGGUGGCUUAAAGGCACUCUACAGUGUGCAGAUGCCUUCUACUUCUUCCAUCUGCCCUGUCUUUCCAAGAACCCCUAUGGCCCCAGGCUCAGAACAGAGCUGAGUGCAGAAAUGAAAAUCUAUGGCUCUGUGUUCCAAAAUGAUGAAGAAUUUCAAGAUGGUGGCAGUGGUAAAAUCCUUCUCCAGGAAAAAUCUGUCCUUGGCCCAAUGUGUAAACACUUGCUGAGUAUUGUGAAACCAGCAACUUGUUCACAAUUCUUCUGAAUUUCUUGGGAAAUUUGAAGUGGAGUACCUGUACCAACAUGAAAUGACACGAAUUUAAGUGAAGCUCAACAACGAAAAGCAAAAAGAACCAAAGAGGAAGCAACUGAAACAACAUCUGGAUGUAUUUAAAAAUAUACAAUGCCUCCAAAAUCAGGUGUCAUUAAUGAAAAUUCUGAAGAAAUGCCACCGGACAUAGCCAACACACCUACGCUAUUGUUAUUCAUUUCCUGCUUUUCACAGAAAACAAUUUUGUUGCAUGGAAGAUUGUGAACUUCAAAGAGCAGAGGGGAAACUCUCCCUUGGCCCCUACCCCUCCAAGGCCCCACUUUUUCGUCAACACUCCUUGGACGCAGCAGAAGUAUGAACAUAAUAUGGUCCUGAAUGAGGCUGAGUCUUUGGGCGCAGAAGACCCGGGUUAAUAAAAAUAGGAAGGUAAGAAAAGAAAAGAAAAAUCAAGACACAUCAUAGGACUAAAUUCCUAUUAUUUAUCCACUCAGGAUUGACCACCCUUUUGGGCCAGAUAGUUGUACCCCCAUGUACCAGGUGGGCACAUGAAGACACAAGAAGUGCUGUGAUGGUUCAUUUUGCAUGUCACCUUGCGUGGAGUAUGC
rnacentral:lncRNA from 1 species